CCUACGGGUGGCAGCAGUGAGGAAUAUUGGUCAAUGGACGAGAGUCUGAACCAGCCAAGUAGCGUGAAGGAUGACUGCCCUAUGGGUUGUAAACUUCUUUUAUAUGGGAAUAAAAUGUUCCACGUGUGGGAGUUUGUAUGUACCAUAUGAAUAAGGAUCGGCUAACUCCGUGCCAGCAGCCGCGGUAAUACGGAGGAUCCGAGGGUUAUCCGGAUUUAUUGGGUUUAAAGGGAGCGUAGGUGGAUUGUUAAGUCAGUUGUGAAAGUUUGCGGCUCAACCGUAAAAUUGCAGUUGAAACUGGCAGUCUUGAGUACAGUAGAGGUGGGCGGAAUGCGUGGUGUAGCGGUGAAAUGCUUAGAUAUCACGAAGAACUCCGAUUGUGAAGGCAGCUCACUGGACUGCAACUGACACUGAGGCUCGAAAGUGUGGGUAUCAAACAGGAUUAGAUACCCGAGUAGUC
rnacentral:rRNA from 1 species